AUACGGAGGGUGCAAGCGUUGUCCGGAUUUAUUGGGUUUAAAGGGUGCGCAGGCGGUGCGUUAAGUCAGUGGCGAAAUCUUCCGGCUCAACCGGGAAACUGCCAUUGAUACUGGCGCACUUGAGUACGGACGAGGUAGGCGGAAUUUAUGGUGUAGCGGUGAAAUGCAUAGAUACCAUAAAGAACACCGAUAGCGAAGGCAGCUUACCAGACCGUAACUGACGCUCAGGCACGAAAGCGUGGGGAGCAAACAGGAUUAGAUACCCUAGUAGUCC
rnacentral:rRNA from 1 species